rnacentral:lncRNA from 1 species
CUCUCAUGACCUACAAGCUAAUCAUAAAGCAAUAUUUUGAAGAAGAGACCAAAAGAAAGAAGACAAUUAUCUUCAAAUCAACGGCUCAAGAAGAAGAAGAUUCAAAAAAAUCAGAAAACAGUGAAGAUGAUAAGGAUUUGGCAUUGAUCACAAGAAAAUUUAGAUGGUUUAUAAAGAAAAGAAGAAAAGAGAUCAAGAGAAAACCACCAGU